rnacentral:rRNA from 1 species
AAAGGAAUUGACGGGACCCCGCACAAGCAGUGGAGCGUGUGGUUUAAUUCGAAGCAACGCGUAGAACCUUACCAGGGCUUGACAUUGCGGCGAAGGCCCUAGAAAUAGGGAGAUACCGUAGCGAUACGGACGCCGUAACAGGUGUUGCAUGGUUGUCGUCAGCUCGUGUCGUGAGAUGUUGGGUUAAGUCCCGCAACGAGCGCAACCCCUAUUUGGUGUUGCUACCGGGUAAUGCCGGGCACUCACCAAAGACCGCCGGAGACGAUUCGGAGGAAGGUGGGGACGACGUCAAAUCAUCAUGGCCCUUAUGCCCUGGGCCACACACGCGCUACAAUGGCCGGUACAACGGGCAGCGAAGGAGCGAUCCCAAGCGAAUCCCUUAAAGCCGGUCUCAGUUGGGAUUGGAGGCUGAAACUCGCCUCCAUAAACACGGAAUUGCUAGUAAUCGCGGAUCAGCUACGCCGCGGUGAAUACGUUCCCGGGGUUUGUACACACCGCCCGU